GACGAACGCUGGCGGCGUGCUUAACACAUGCAAGUCGAACGGAAAGGCCCUGCUUUUGUGGGGUGCUCGAGUGGCGAACGGGUGAGUAACACGUGAGUAACCUGCCCUUGACUUUGGGAUAACUUCAGGAAACUGGGGCUAAUACCGGAUAGGAGCUCCUGCUGCAUGGUGGGGGUUGGAAAGUUUCGGCGGUUGGGGAUGGACUCGCGGCUUAUCAGCUUGUUGGUGGGGUAGUGGCUUACCAAGGCUUUGACGGGUAGCCCGCCUGAGAGGGUGACCGGGCACCAUGGGACUGAGAUACGGCCCAGACUCCUACGGGAGGCAGCAGUGGGGAAUAUUGCACAAUGGGCGGAAGCCUGAUGCAGCAACGCCGCGUGCGGGAUGACGGCCUUCGGGUUGUAAACCGCUUUCGCCUGUGACGAAGCGUGAGUGACGGUAAUGGGUAAAGAAGCACCGGCUAACUACGUG
rnacentral:rRNA from 1 species